UACGUAGGUGGCAAGCGUUGUCCGGAUUUACUGGGCGUAAAGGGCGUGCAGGCGGUUUGUUAAGUGCAGGGUGAAAGCUCCCGGCUCAACUGGGAGAGGUCCUUGCAUACUGGCAAACUCGAGGGAGGCAGAGGAAAGUGGAAUUCCCGGUGUAGAGGUGAAAUUCGUAGAUAUCGGGAGGAACACCAGUGGCGAAGGCGGCGACCUGGGCCAAUAUUGACGCUGAGGUGCGAAAGCGUGGGGAGCAAACAGG
rnacentral:rRNA from 1 species